rnacentral:rRNA from 1 species
UGGGGAAUUUUCCGCAAUGGGCGAAAGCCUGACGGAGCAAUACCGCGUGAGGGAUGACGGCCUAUGGGUUGUAAACCUCUUUUUUCAGGGAGGAAUCAAUGACGUGUACCUGAAGAAUAAGCAUCGGCUAACUCCGUGCCAGCAGCCGCGGUAAGACGGAGGAUGCAAGUGUUAUCCGGAAUCACUGGGCGUAAAGCGUCUGUAGGUGGUCAAAUAAGUCAACUGUUAAAUCUUGAGGCUCAACCUCAAAAUCGCAGUCGAAACUAUUAGACUAGAGUAUAGUAGGGGUAAAGGGAAUUUCCAGUGGAGCGGUGAAAUGCGUAGAGAUUGGAAGGAACACCGAUGGCGAAGGCACUUUACUGGGCUAUUACUAACACUCAGAGACGAAAGCUAGGGUAGCAAAUG